UACGGAGGGAGCUAGCGUUGUUCGGAAUUACUGGGCGUAAAGCGCGCGUAGGCGGCUUUGUAAGUUAGAGGUGAAAGCCCGGAGCUCAACCCCGGAACUGCCUUUAAAACUGCAUCGCUUGAAUCCAAGAGAGGUGAGUGGAAUUCCGAGUGUAGAGGUGAAAUUCGUAGAUAUUCGGAAGAACACCAGUGGCGAAGGCGGCUCACUGGACUGGUAUUGACGCUGAGGUGCGAAAGCGUGGGGAGCAAACAGG
rnacentral:rRNA from 1 species